rnacentral:rRNA from 1 species
UAUAUGGUCAAGUGAAGAAGCGCAUACGGUGGAUGCUUGGCAGUCAGAGGCGAUGAAAGACGUGGUAGCCUGCGAAAAGCUUUGGGGAGUCGGCAAACAGACUGUGAUCCAGAGAUCUCUGAAUGGGGGAACCCACCUAGGAUAACCUAGGUAUCUUGUACUGAAUCCAUAGGUGCAAGAGGCGAACCAGGGGGAACUGAAAACAUCUAAGUACCCC